rnacentral:rRNA from 1 species
UACGGGGGGGGCAAGCGUUGUUCGGAAUUACUGGGCGUAAAGGGCCCGUAGGCGGCCAACUAAGUCCGACGUGAAAUCCCAAGGCUUAACCUUGGAACUGCGUCGGAUACUGGAUGGCUUGAAUUCGGGAGAGGGAUGCAGAAUUCCAGGUGUAGCGGUGAAAUGCGUAGAUAUUGGGAGGAACACCAGUGGCGAAGGCGGCUCGCUGGACCGGAACUGACGCUGAGGCGCGAAAGCGUGGGGAGCAAACGGG